UUUUAACACAUUUGUAUUAUUUUAUUUUAAAAUUUAAUUUAAAUAUAUAACUCAGAUAUUUCUCUAAUAUAGAAGACAUAAACAUAACAAAUUAAAAUAUUACAUGUAUUUGGAUUAAAAUUUCAAAAAUAGAUAAUAUUUAUAUACCAAAUAUAGAUAUUAAAAAUUUUAUAUUAACAUUCGUAAUUUAAAAAUGAAUUCAUUAAGCUAGAAUCUAUAGUAUAUCUUGUUAAUCCCAUUUUAAAACCAUUUGAAUUGUUUGAUUCACCAUCAUCAUCAUCAUCAUCGUUACUUUGUCCAUCAUGCAUAUCUUCUCGAUCAAUAAUAUUCUCAUAUACCCAAUUAAAAACAUUCCAUGCGUUGUAAAAUAUCUUACUUCUCCCUUUCAUCAUCACCGCUGGAAUUGCCAAUCAUACUAUCACCUAUGAACAAAUUUUAUAUCCAAAAUCAAACAUAAAUAACUAUUGAUAAAACUAAAUUAUACAUAAAUAAGUAGAACAUAAAUUCAAUAUCCAAAAAAACCAAACUAUCGGUUUAAAGCUUCUCAAACACGCAAGGAUUUAACAAAAUAAAGCCAGGGUAGCAUAAUUUGAAAUCAAAACAAGUUACAGUCUUCUUAUUCUUACUUGAACCUCAAAGAGUAUCCUUCAUAUUGGUAUUAGCAAAGGAUGUCACAUAUAGGCUAAAGAAAGGUGUGUAUGAGAUUUUCUUACUGAGCCUAGCAAAACUUGAGUCGUACAGUUUUAAAUUUUGAAACAACAUUUUAUCAUCACAAUAUCCAAUAUAUUAGAUAUAAAGAGUAUCCACAGUGGUAAUUUACCAAAUAACAAUCAUAUAAAUAAUCACACGUCAUAAAGAGAACAUCAAAGCUAACCAAACAAAAAGUUAACCUGAGAAACAUAGAUCAGCAGAAAAAGAAUCAUCUUUCUAGUACAUACACACAGAUAUAUAAAAUACUAAGUUGGCUGAGAAAAAAAGAUUUCAACUUUAGAUUUCCUUUGAAGGAAAGGUGUUUUUGCCUAUUAAGUUAUGAUUUCGCCACGUCAUACAAACAUGAGAUCUGAGGAUAUGCUAAUUAAGUUGAAAAAAUAACAAUUUUUUUAUGAACCAGUGCUAAGUUUUCAAGACUGAUCUUUCAAGUCCCAACAUCUAAUUUCAGCUAAAACAAGCUUGAAAAUUUUCUUUGUAAACGUACCCACAAAUUAGAACAGCAGGAAAAGAAAAGAAAAGUCAGCUGAAAUCAAAUGAACCAAGCAAAAUUAGAUAUUCUUCCUAACCAAAUACGCAUAAAAAUAUAUCAAGAUUUCCAUUAGCAUGAAAUCCCAAGCUAUAAAUAUUUCCCAACAUCCCCUUUUACCAUGAAAAAAAAAUGAAAAAGUUCGUGUCUUGGAAUAACUUAGCGCCAUUUCAAGCCAACAACCAUAAUCGAGCUUUAAUCACAACUAUUAAUGAAACAAAAAAGAGAAAAAAUCAAAAAGACGACUAUGGAAUUGAACAUUCAAAGAACACAAAGAAAAGCUCAUUCCUUUCCAAGAGAAAAAAAAAAGAAAAAAAAAAGGGACAUAUUUGGAACCAAAACGGGGAUUUUCAGUCUGGAUUUUCCUUAAAAGAAAGAGAUCAUGAAAGUUUUUGAUCCUUGAAGCCAAACAAAUCUGGCAGCCAAAAACUAAUCAGCAGCCAGAAAACUAGUCCCAAGGAUAGCGACACCUUUUUUUUCAAUCUUUAAAAACAUAGUAUAGUAACUAAUGAAGGCUUCAUUGUUAAAAACUUUGUCAAGUUCUGUUAUCUUUUAUUUCUCAAUAAAUUCUUUCACUAAUCUAAUUGAUGUUGUAAAAGAGAAUUCCCAUUUUUCACCGUUUCUCUUUUAUUAGGGGUUAAUUGUUGUGUGUGUUUGCCAUUUAAGGACACUUUUAAUAGCUUCAUUGUAAGUCCGAAGAAAAUUAAACUCAGGAAAAUAAUCAAACUCAACAACCAAACAGAAAACUCAAGAAAAUCAAAGGUGAAAUGAGAAAGUUAACCUGAAAUAGAGAGCAACCAAACUCAGCAGCGACCAAAAAUAACCUGAAAUGGGGGAAAAUGAGAAAGUUAAAUGGGGAGUUGAAAUGAGAAGAUGAGAUUAGGGGAGUAGAAAAAGAGAGAGGGAGAGAGCAACAAAAACCUUGGAGAAAAUGAGAAGAGGAGCGAGAACCAGAGAAGGGAAAGUACUGUAAAAAUUUUAGUUUCUCUAUUUAGCUAAAAGUAUUUUUAAAAAAGCUAAAAAUUUUAACAAAAAAUUAUUUAUUUAAGCAUUUAUCGAUUCGAAUGUCUAUUCUAUUAAGACAAGAUUGUGAGCUAAUUGAACAACAUUUAAUAGUUUCUUAAAUCAUUGAUUUUAUAUUUCAUACUACUUUGAAAAAGAAAACUCAUCUUUUAACAUAAAUCAUGUAUCUUGCUUUUUAGUACCAAAUAUGUUUAAUCCAAAAAAAAAGGUAAAAAGUUAAUUUUUUUUAUUUAAAAUUUUUAGUCUAAUUAUCGUCAAUUAUUUUAACUUGGC
rnacentral:lncRNA from 1 species